rnacentral:misc_RNA from 1 species
UAAAUAACUAAACGUCAGUCUUUGUGGAAGUAGGGUAAGGAGGCGUUUCGCCUUCGAUUGACAAUUAACAAGCUUUAUUCUACGAUUCUUAAAUAAUUAGAAUAUUAAUAAAAGGUACAUCUUGUAAGAAAUACCUUUACCUGAUAUUUGAAUAUCAAGAUGACAGACUCGAAAUAUUUUACAACCACAAAAAAAGGUGAAAUAUUUGAACUUAAAUCAGAAUUGAACAAUGAUAAAAAAGAAAAGAAAAAGGAAGCUGUUAAAAAGGUGAUUGCAUCCAUGACAGUAGGAAAAGAUGUAUCUGCACUAUUUCCUGAUGUAGUUAACUGUAUGCAGACGGAUAAUUUGGAACUGAAGAAAUUGGUUUAUUUGUAUCUCAUGAAUUAUGCUAAGAGUCAACCAGAUAUGGCCAUCAUGGCUGUCAACACAUUUGUUAAGGAGCUAGCGACAUCUCCGAUGACAAAGGACUGUGAAGAUCCAAAUCCACUGAUUCGAGCAUUAGCGGUUCGUACAAUGGGGUGCAUACGUGUUGACAAGAUCACUGAAUACCUUUGCGAGCCGUUAAGAAAAUGUCUUAAGGACGAAGAUCCAUAUGUUCGUAAAACGGCCGCAGUAUGCGUUGCCAAGCUUUACGACAUUAAUGCUGCUUUAGUUGAGGAUCAAGGAUUUUUGGAUCAAUUAAAAGAUCUUUUAUCUGAUAGCAAUCCUAUGGUUGUUGCUAAUGCAGUGGCUGCAUUGUCAGAAAUUAAUGAAGCUAGUCCUAGCGGACAACCUUUAGUUGAAAUGAAUGCUCAAACUAUUAACAAACUUCUCACAGCUCUUAAUGAAUGCACAGAAUGGGGUCAAGUUUUUAUAUUAGAUUCACUCGCUAAUUAUUCACCAAAAGAUGAUCGUGAAGCUCAAAGCAUUUGUGAACGUAUUACUCCACGUUUGGCGCAUGCAAAUGCUGCAGUUGUUCUAUCUGCCGUCAAGGUACUUAUGAAACUAAUGGAAAUGCUCCAAUCAGAAUCCGAUUUUGUUGGUACUCUUACAAAAAAGUUGGCCCCGCCUCUUGUCACAUUGCUCAGUUCCGAACCUGAAGUUCAAUAUGUUGCACUGAGAAAUAUAAAUCUUAUUGUACAAAAAAGACCAGAUAUAUUGAAACACGAAAUGAAAGUUUUCUUUGUCAAAUAUAAUGAUCCAAUUUAUGUUAAACUUGAAAAAUUGGAUAUUAUGAUACGUUUAGCAUCGCAAGCCAAUAUUGCCCAGGUUUUAUCCGAACUAAAAGAAUAUGCUACAGAAGUUGAUGUAGAUUUUGUUAGGAAAGCUGUUAGAGCCAUUGGACGUUGCGCUAUAAAAGUUGAACCUUCUGCGGAGCGAUGCGUUUCUACGUUACUAGACUUAAUUCAAACAAAGGUUAAUUAUGUAGUUCAAGAAGCCAUUGUCGUUAUUAAAGAUAUCUUCCGUAAAUAUCCAAAUAAAUAUGAAAGCAUAAUUUCAACACUCUGCGAAAAUUUGGAUACUCUUGAUGAACCAGAAGCACGUGCUUCUAUGAUUUGGAUAAUUGGAGAAUAUGCGGAACGUAUUGAUAACGCAGACGAAUUGUUAGAAAGUUUUCUAGAAGGUUUUCACGAUGAAAAUACACAAGUGCAAUUACAACUGUUAACAGCCAUUGUCAAACUAUUUUUGAAAAGACCUACGGACACUCAAGAAUUAGUACAACAAGUACUAAGUUUAGCAACACAAGAUUCAGAUAAUCCAGAUUUGAGAGAUCGUGGAUUUAUAUAUUGGCGGUUGCUCAGCACUGAUCCAGCAGCAGCUAAAGAAGUUGUACUAGCUGAGAAACCUCUUAUUUCAGAAGAAACAGAUUUAUUGGAACCGACAUUGUUAGAUGAAUUGAUCUGUCACAUUUCUAGUUUAGCAUCAGUAUAUCACAAACCACCAACCGCAUUUGUAGAAGGUAGAGCAGCUGGAGCUAGGAAAUCCUUACCUGCUAGAAGUAAUUCGAAUGAGGAUUCAAGUCAACGUACUGCUACUACUUCUCAACCUCAUGCUCAAGUUAUACUUGCGCAAGACUCAUUAAUAGGCGAUCUUCUCAGUAUGGACAUUGGUGGACCAACUAUAGUACCCCCAGCACCACCUGCGCAAUCAGGAUUAGGUUUAGAUCUUUUAGGAGGUGGUUUAGAUGGAAUUUUAGGUAGUAAUGAUGGAGCGGCAAAUACUGCAGCACCGGUCGUUUCUCAGAGUACAACAGGAUUAUUGGGUGAUAUUUUCGGUUUCAAUCAAGGACCUACAUCUUAUAUACCAACUAAAGUUAAUUGGUUGCCCGCAGAAAAGGGUAAAGGUUUUGAUAUCUGGGGUACAUUUUCAAGAAAAAAUAGUCAGAUCAGCAUGGAUAUGACAUUUACAAAUAAAGCAAUGCAACCUAUGGGAGGAUUUGCCAUUCAACUUAAUAAGAAUAGUUUUGGUUUGACACCAGCAGCACCGUUGCAAGUACCAAGUCCUUUAGGUCCAGGAGCUAGCAUUGAAACCAAUGUAAUUUUAUCCACGGCAGGAGCAGUGCAACGCAUGGAACCUUUAAAUAAUUUACAAGUCGCUAUAAAGAAUAAUAUUGAUGUAUUUUACUUUGCUUGCUUAGUCCCUAUGAACGUAUAUUUUACUGAAGACGGACAACUAGACAAAAGAGUAUUUCUUUCAACUUGGAAAGAUAUUCCUGCCCAAAAUGAGGUUCAGUAUACAUUAAGUGGAAUAAUGUUGACUGCUGAUCAAGUGGUACAAAAGAUGCAACAAAACAAUGUCUUCACUAUUGCCAAGAGAAACGUUGAAGGACAGGAUAUGCUUUAUCAAUCAUUAAAAUUAACUAAUAAUGUGUGGGUAUUAAAUGAAUUAAAAAUUCAGCCCGGCAAUCCUGAUGUUACGUUAUCGCUCAAGUCUCGGUCCGUCGAAGUCGCGUCUGGAGUAUUUCAAGCAUAUAAUGCAAUACUACAUUCUUAAAGAUUUAAGUAUAAUCGCGUUAAGAUUAAAAUUGCAAGAAAUUAUAGUUAAAAUGUUACCGAAUAUUUGUUAAGCAAUUUAUGAAAAUGACAUGGNACAUGUAAUGCAUAUAUAAUAUUCGAUUAUGAUGUAAAUUAACGUUUAAUUGUUAAAUAAGCUACAACAAUUAUUAUUAAGAUUAUCUUGACAUAAA